rnacentral:rRNA from 1 species
CAAUAAGCGGAGGAAAAGAAACCAACAGGGAUUGCCCUAGUAACGGCGAGCGAAGCGGCAACAGCUCAAAUUUGAAAUCUGGCUAUUUUGUAGUCCGAGUUGUAAUUUGUAGAGGAUGCUUUUGGUGAGGUGCCUUCCGAGUUCCCUGGAACGGGACGCCAGAGAGGGUGAGAGCCCCGUACGGUUGGAUACCAAACCUUUGUAUAGCUCCUUCGACGAGUCGAGUAGUUUGGGAAUGCUGCUCUAAAUGGGAGGUAUAUCUCUUCUAAAGCUAAAUAUAGGCUAGAGACCGAUAGCGCACAAGUAGAGUGAUCGAAAGAUGAAAAGCACUUUGAAAAGAGAGUUAAACAGCACGUGAAAUUGUUGAAAGGGAAGCGCCUAUGACCAGACUUGUUUCUUUCAGUUUUGUUAGUUUUCGGACUGAUUUACUCUGUUAGUACAGGCCAGCAUCAGUUUGUUGUCAGGGAGAAAGGCUUAGGGAAUGUGGCUCUUUCGGGAGUGUUAUAGCCCUUUGCAUAAUACCUUUCGGCAGACUGAGG